GUAACACCUCAGGUAUUAAAGGGUAAACACUGGAUAUUUCGCCAGUGACAUCUAAGAAUCACGCACUCUUUAAGGGAGCGUAAAUCUUUGACUGUUUUCCGAUCAACGUGAAUCCGCUGAUUCUGUCAUGAUUCUGCCCCACCCUCACCUGCCUGAUUGCUCAUUCUGAACACCUGCGUGCUCCUCUAUUUAAGACUCUUCCCCUCCAGGCUCAGUACUGGAUUGUUGUCUACUCCCUGAAGUUCCCAGUACGCACGCCUUGCUAUUUUGUCUCGUCCUCGACCCUGCUCAUGCUCUGGAUUCCUGCUCCUGUCUUCACUCUUCAGUACCUCCGCCUUGGACCCACUCUGAUCUCCGUGUUGCCGACCCUCGCUUCGUCCACGUCUUGCCGCCCCUGCCUUCUCCUCCGGAUAUUUCUGCCGCCCUGAAGAACCCUUGGACUCCCCCUACUGCUUGGAGGACCUUACUGCAGACCUAAUAAACUGCUUUACUUAACUAAAA